GCAGGCUUAUCGAAGUGGUCACAACGAGGCGGUCUUGAAAACCGUUAGGGCGAAAGCCCACGGGGGUUCGAAUCCCUCAGCCUGCGCCA
rnacentral:tRNA from 1 species